rnacentral:rRNA from 1 species
AUUGAACGCUGGCGGCAGGCCUAACACAUGCAAGUCGAGCGGCUGAAGGGAGCUUGCUCCUGGAUUCAGCGGCGGACGGGUGAGUAAUGCCUAGGAAUCUGCCUGGUAGUGGGGGAUAACGUCCGGAAACGGGCGCUAAUACCGCAUACGUCCUGAGUGAGAAAGUGGGGGUUCUUCGGACCUCACGCUAUCAGAUGAGCCUAGGUCGGAUUAUCUAGUUGGUGGGGUAAAGGCCUACCAAGGCGACGAUCCGUAACUGGUCUGAGAGGAUGAUCAGUCACACUGGAACUGAGACACGGUCCAGACUCCUACGGGAGGCAGCAGUGGGGAAUAUUGGACAAUGGGCGAAAGCCUGAUCCAGCCAUGCCGCGUGUGUGAAGAAGGUCUUCGGAUUGUAAAGCACUUUAAGUUGGGAGGAAGGGCAGUAAGUUAAUACCUUGCUGUUUUGACGUUACCAACAGAAUAAGCACAGGCUAACUUAGUG